ensembl:lncRNA
ACAACACCGCUGCGGCACCGUAGGGGACCACUCGGACCCAGGCCUCCGGCCCCUGUGGUACUGUUUGGCCGACGCCGCCUCUGCUUUCUUCUGACUCAAUCCUUUCUUGGCUCAGGCAGGCAGGGAAAGCGCAGGGAGGAAGAGUUCAGUGUCCUGUUGGCAGUUUUUGUCUUUAUUCUUAAUUUACAGAGAGGCCUGUGUACUAAGCCACUUAAGAAGAGGAGAAUAGCCUGUGUGCAUGUGACAGCUCAUACAGUGUGGGUGCAGCCCGGUACACCUGUACUUUCUGGAGCUGGGUCAUCUCGGCAGAGACCUGGGCUGCUCACAGGCUGGCCCAUACACUAAGUGCCCGAGUCCACUAAGUAUCUCCAAAUUCACUUCAGAGUCUCCGAGCACCUGAAUUCAGGCACUGACACACGGUUAGCAAUGCCAGAUUGCUGACAGGCACUCUUAGUGCUAAAGCCUAUCCUGUCUGUCAACACACAGUGACACCGACUCUGAAUUUCCAGGCAAGAUCAAUACAUGAGAUAGAAGGAUGACUGCAAUAAACAAGCUGUAUUUUGGAGGGAGGAGGAAGAGGGAAAACUUUAAUUUACAAUGUGCUUUUUGUGUUUUUGCCAUCAGUAGAACCUGGGCCUGUGAUCCUGUGCUUUCCAAAACCUGAAUUGUAAUUCUGGUCUCUGUCCUACCUCAUCCCAAAAUGUAAAGGUGGACAUGAGACAGGAACCAACAAAGAGUUAAGAGAACAGUUCUGGUGAAGAUAACACUAAUCCCUUUCCCUACUCCAAAUGACCUAUAAGAUGCAGCGGGAAACUGGGCUUCUCAGCCUAUAGUUUCCCAGGUUCUAACCCCAUUCCUAGCUUAAACCUAUUCUAACUAGAAAUCAGGUCUGGUCCUUGAGAUGUGAAUGACAGAAGAUGAAGCAGUAUUCCAAUCUAUUUGUCCUUUCCAUUUUUCUCAGAGUUCUCAGUGAUUCACUGAGAAUUUAGAUUUCUCGAAAAUGUUCAUGUCCAAACUCCAAACUUAUCUUCAGCUCUCACCCUAAACUUCAGUCUAAACGCUGUGUAUUUCAGAGAUGCAAAAUUGAUCAUUAAAUGGUUAAAAGAAAACAGGACUGGAUCCCUUGAAAUUUCUACUCUACCUUAGACUGUCCUGUGUAGCCCCAGGUAAAUGCAGUAUUGCUGUUGCUGAUAACAAGCCACAGGCUUUGUAUUAAGUUAACACAGUCCUGAGAGCUUGUCAGGUUUUAUGUGGACUAGUCUCAGCCAGCUUGUAGCUUUGUUUCAGCUUGUUUACCUCUAACAGCUAUUGUCUUAUGACCAGGUGUCUAUUCCUCUAUUUGUUUUCAUUUUUCUUAUCUUCAUAUAAUUGAUGUAAUGCCUAUAGCUAAAAGUUCUUGUAUAAAUAGGAAUAGCAAUUAAUUAUGCUGUGUAGAAUGACCCCUGAACCUCUAGAUUAAUGACUGAGCAUUAUGAAGGUAUAGUGUGACAGAGGCCCCAGGGCUCUCAAUUAGUCAUAAGAAAAGAUACUGCAAACCUAGGAGCUGGGCAACAGCUGUUUUAGGGAUAGCAAAAAAAAGUCAAGUGUCUCAUGUAUAAAUCCUGCCACAUAUAGUAAAGUUAGAUGUAAUAUAAGAGUUGAAAACCACAGAAGAAAAGUCAGGGUGAGUACAAAAUAACAAACAUAAAAAUGCACCCAAGUGUUCCCUAGAGUGAGGAGGGAACACUUAACAUCAAUAUCGUGUUUUUCCUAGCAAAGAGGAAAAAUGCCCUACAUGAAAAUCGUACUCCUCCCAACAAGUAUCUUAGGAUGGCAGCUUUCUGUCAUACUUCUUACC